rnacentral:rRNA from 1 species
GAUGAACGCUGGCGGCGUGCUUAACACAUGCAAGUCGAACGGAAAGGCCCAAGCUUGCUUGGGUACUCGAGUGGCGAACGGGUGAGUAACACGUGGGUGAUCUGCCCUGCACUUCGGGAUAAGCCUGGGAAACUGGGUCUAAUACCGGAUAGGACGAUGGUUUGGAUGCCAUUGUGGAAAGUUUUUUCGGUGUGGGAUGAGCUCGCGGCCUAUCAGCUUGUUGGUGGGGUAAUGGCGUACCAAGGCGUCGACGGGUAGCCGGCCUGAGAGGGUGUACGGCCACAUUGGGGGAGAGAUACGGCCCAGACUCCUACGGGAGGCAGAAGUGGGGAAUAUUGCACAAUGGGCGCAAGCGUGAUGCAGCGACGCCGCGUGGGGGAUGACGGCCUUCGGGUUGUAAACACCUUUCGCUAGGGACGAAGCGUUUUUGUGACGGUACCUGGAGAAGAAGCACCGGCUAACUACGUG